rnacentral:lncRNA from 1 species
CAUAUCAUAGGGAACAUGUGUACCAAGUUUGAAGUCGAUUGGACUUCAACUUCAUCAAAAACUACCUCGACUAAAAACUUUAACCUGAAGCGGGACAGACGGACGAACGAACGAACGGACGGACGAACGAACGAACGGACGGACGGACGAACGAACGGACGCACAGACCAUAAAACAUAAUGCCCCUCUACUAUCGUAGGUGGGGCAUAAAAAUUUGAU